rnacentral:piRNA from 1 species
CUGGGCUCUUAGAGAAUAAAAGUC